rnacentral:lncRNA from 1 species
CUGUUAGUGUCUUUAUUUUCUCAGUUAUCAGACAUGCCCUUGGAAACACUCCUCAGGAUACAUAUGAGUGCUACGACAGAUCACAUCCUGCUGCCUCUAAUUUAAAGCAUUCUGUGAAACCGUUGCCUGAAAUGUCUAAUUUCAUACACUGACUAGAGACAGGCACUGCACGUAGCAGAUGUAUUCCUGGGGAGUGUUGCUGGUAAAUCAAAUUUUUAUAAUUCAAA